rnacentral:misc_RNA from 1 species
GUAAGCCGUGUGCGGGAGAGCCGCAUGCACGGAUUGACGGGCGGGAGCUGGAAACGGAGCACCCUGGCCAC